UCCUACGUAAGGACAGAAAGCAUGUGCAGAAAGGAAGCUUUUGAUGAUUACUUAAUUUUUUUGGAGGAAUGGCACAGAUCUCAUGUACACUGGCAGAGAAUUAGAUGUAAAGCAAGCAAGAAAUAUACAACAGAUCAUGGGGAUUUAAUAUGAGCACAAUGUAUUCUUCACUGGUGCAUGGCGUUGGCAUCACUUCUACUUAUAACUCAUUAUAAUUGAUAGAUCAGUGGUGGGUGCUUGACAACUUCACUGAACAGUGUCCUUUCGGACAGGGUGCUGACAACUGAGUCUUGAAAAGAGAAAUGGAGUCCCGUUAUUAUCCUGGGUCUUCUCUGCAACUGAAUUGCAGAAAUGUUGAUCACUUCUUUCACCAUUUAUGGUUAGACUUUAAUACCAUAUGAAUCAACUUUUUUCAUGAUCAGAGGGUGAGUCCGAGUCCCCUCCAAAGAAAUUGUUGCUCCAUCAGAACAGUAGCAUCAUUUGAGCUCUUUAUUUGCUCAUCUGGAAGGUGUUGCUGCAGAAUCCUUUAGGAAAAAGAAAACUACUGGCACCAGAGUUGUUCAUUGCUGUGAAGCCGACGGAUCGGCUUGCUGUAUGAUUGUGAUAGCGUGUAACAAAAUAGCACAUUAUGAAAUACAUGUACAUAUACAUGGUUAUCAUUAUUACAAAAGCUAUAGGCUACAUGAAAAUGGAGACCUGUAAAAGGCAUUUUUGAAGGAAGCAUCGCAGCAUGCAAUCA